rnacentral:rRNA from 1 species
CGCACGGGUGAGUAACACGUAUGCAACCUGCCUGCCACAGACCGGAUAAUCGGGAGAAAUUCCGUCUAAUACGGCAUAAUGCAUCGACGGGACAUCCUGUUGGUGCCAAAGGUUAAUUCCGGUGGCGGAUGGGCAUGCGUCGCAUUAGUUAGUUGGCGGUGUAACGGACCACCAAGACGACGAUGCGUAGGGGUUCUGAGAGGAAGGUCCCCCACACUGGUACUGAGACACGGACCAGACUCCUACGGGAGGCAGCAG